GCCAGCACAAAUGCAACAUUUGCUAUAACCAAUGCAACAAAGAAAGCUAUAGAACUUCAUAGCGGUAUGUGGUGUAAUAACUUCACCCUAAUCAGAUCUGUAUGCACCUCAGACCAGGAGAGGGCCCAAAGUUGCACCCCACCCCCCUUGUCUCACAGCAAGGUGUUCCUCACUGUGCCUUUAACAACAAUGCUUUAGACUGUGUUACUCAGACUCUUCACUUUGCCCUGAAGUAUCCGUGUCCGACACCGUGUCCAAAAAUUGGAUACUUCACUUGGAUACUUCACUUUAGUGUAAAAAAUUGGCAAAAUUGAGAAGUACCCGUGUCGGAUACCGUGUCCAACCGGACAUUCCAUCCGUGUCCGAGUAACACAGGCUUUAGAAGAAAGUAUUUCAGCAAUUGAUGAACUGAUACGUGAAUCUAGUAGCAUCUCUGCAUUACUCUCCUUUGGAACAAUCAACUUUCAUAAAUUUUCUCCAUUGUGCAAGUGCAAUCAAUAAUGUGGUAACUAAUAAUCAAGCAACACCAAAAUAUUGUUUGCUUAUCAUUAAGAAAACGUCAUGUUUCUCUCCAAAUAUCUUUACUUAUGUCUAUAAUCAAGUUCUACACGUCAAUUCAUUAACAGUAAUCACUAAUCACAAAAGCUUAUGCUCACGACUCAUAACAACAAAGAUGCCAAUGGUUAAAGCAACAUUAACCAACUUUAAUUAUUUCAAAGUGAUUGAUUGUGGAUGAGAAGAGCUUUAUAUUUCUGUUUCUUUUCUGUUUUACUUUUUUUGCUGGUGUAUCCUCUUCCCUUUUUUUGGAUGAAUGUAAAGACAAGAAAUGAACAUAUGAAAACUGAAAUAUGACUCGCGUAUUAAUCAGCCACAGGUCUGCCACCUCCAGAUUAUCACUGAGCGUAACCAUAUGAUGAAAGUUGACCUGCCAUAUAUUCAUUGUCACUCCGGCAUGAGAAAAUUAUUUUACAUAGAAUCAGAUGAGUUAUUUUCAAUAUAGCACUCACAUACUUAUUCCACAAAAAUUAACUGUAAAUUUUAAUAAAAAGUAGAAGGAAGAGGUAGGGACAAAAGCCUCAUAUACUUGGAGCUUUUUUUUACCAGGCAUAAAUCUUAAAACUUAAUGCAUUAAGUGAUUGUAAUUAAGCAUGUUUCAUAAGUUUUUAUCAUAUCACAUAAAAAAUUAAGCUUCUCGUAAAAUUUGAACUAAAAAUAAAUAAAAUCUUACGUUUGAAAGAAUAGGCUUAAUGUUCUGAAUGCUGAGUAGACUAAACACCUGUUUGGUAGUCAACUGCAAUCUAUGUUUAUUCACAAUUGCAAGUCACCACUUGUGGUUUAGAAACCCCAAAUUAGCUACAUCCACAUAAUCAUAUUCCCUUUUAUAAACUAUAAUUACACCAAAUAUAUUAGUAAUUUCUAUCAAACAUUUAAUUAAUUGAAAAUGAAAGGUUCCAAUUUUUCACCAGCGAGAUAUGAGGGAGAUUUUUCCCAGCGCGAUUUGUAGAUUGAAGCGUCGUAUCCGAGAGCUAACAGAUUAUCAUUACAUUUUUCAGAUUUUCUUUUUGUCAACAAUUUUUGCAGUGUCAGUGUCGGUGUCAGCUAACAGGUUUCUUUCAUAAACACAAAGAAAGGACCAAGCUCUGUUCAAAAAAAGAAAUAUUUUUCAAAACCAUAAACAACUAAACAAUACUUUGAGGAAACAAUUAAUUUCUAUGUAUAUAUACCUUGAGAAUUUCGCAUGUAUCAGUAGAUGAGAUGUGAUUAAAGUCAAAUUCGUGGUCUGAACGGUCGUUACAAUUGCUGUUGAAGCAAUUGCACCUGUUCCGGCUACACCUCACCGGCUUCGACGAUUGUUUACCGCUUUAAUCCACCCUAAUUUUCAAGGUUAGUUAUCUUAUAACCGGUUGAUUUUUU
rnacentral:lncRNA from 1 species